rnacentral:lncRNA from 1 species
UACAAUAUAGAUAAAUUAAAAACAUAUUUUAAUGAGUCCAAAAUUACAAUCAAUAUUUCAAAAUUCAACAAAGUAACAUCAUGUGAACCUUGCUUAGACUUUAUUCACGUCCAAAACUACAAUCAAUCAUGAUUUUUAUCUGUAUUUUUGGAAGAAAAAAAUUCCUAAAUCUUCAAUUAAACAAACACAAAGCAAACUUCAUAACUCAUAUCAUAAGCGAUUGUGUUUAUAAAUGGAGAGAAGAAGUUUCAAACUAAGAAUCACUGGCCAGGUGACUAAUUGUGUACUUCAAGUGUGGGGUUUCUGCUGCACCUGCUGAUAUAAGUUACUCCAUGGAAUCAAGAUGGGGAGAUAUCAAAAUAUAUAAAACCUAAUCGCAUUGCUACUGCGCUUGACCACAUCACUGCCACAACUAACAAAUUUAAUACUAUGGGUUUUAUAUAGAAACAGGAUAACAUUGUGAAUUUAUGUACUAUGCUACAUAUUAGAUCUCUCAAUUAUGGUUUGAAUACAAUCAUAUACAGGAGUAAUCAGAGACUAAUUAUGAGCUACUGGCAUGCUCAAAACCUAACAAUCAUAGCUAGUGAGCCCUUGGUUAUUUAUACAUAACUAUAUAAAUUCUAACAUGAAUGUUUCACUUAAUAACUUUAAACCAAAAGUUUUCAUUUCAACAACCAAACAUCAAAGAAGAAUGAAUGAUUCAAAGAUGAACUAGAAACCAAUCAAUUUUACAAAGUUUUCAUUUCAACAACCAAACAUCAAAGAAGAAUGAAUGAUUCAAAGAUGAACUAGAAACCAAUCAAUUUUACAUUUGUACCAAAAACACAAAAAUACACUUGUACCAAAAAGAAACAAAAAAAGCAAACACUAAAUUUCAAACACAAAAAUACACUAAUUUUCCCACAAUGUAGUAGCAUUUUGUCUUCCUCAACAUUAACGUUGAUUGAAAUAGUUUUUAAACCCUGGAAAUAGGUUACCAAUUGUACCACUUAUCACUGUCCACAAUUCCUUUGUAAUUUAUGUCACAUGAGCAAAGCUCAUGACAUGGGAUUUAAUAUCAUGUCUUGUACAUGUGAUGAACUUUAUUAAAUUUUUCUGACACACUCCUUGACAUGAAAAGCUCAUUGGAGUUAAGAUCUCAACCAUUCAACUAGUGUCUAUAACUAUUGUUCAUUAAUUUAUCUAAAUGUUUUUAUUCACCUACUAUCUAUAACUAUGUUCAUAAAUUUAUCUAAAUGUUUUUAGCGGCAUAUCCCUCCCAGUUUGAAGUUUGAAUUGGUUUAUUUUGUAGACUUUUAGUGUCUAUUGUCAAGAUUUUUACACCUAGUUCGUCAUUCACUAUGGCAGCCUCGGUGGCACAGUGCAAUAUGUCUGUAACAGGUUGGCCCUUGAUUGAUCAGGCUACAAUUUUUUUUAUAACUAUGUUCAUAUGCACUUGUUAGUUUAUAUUUUU